AUUGAACGCUAGCGGCAUGCCUUACACAUGCAAGUCGAACGGAGUGGCGAACGGGUGAGUAAUGUAUCGGAACGUGCCUAGUAGCGGGGGAUAACUAAGAGAAAGCGUAGCUGAUACCGCAUACUAUUGGAGCGGCCGAAGCCGGAUUAGGUAGUUGGGGGGGUAACGGCUCACCAAGGCGACGAUCCUUAGCUGGUUUGAGAGGACGACCAGCCAAACUGGGACUGAGACACGGCCCAUACUCCGACGGGAGGCAGCAGUGGGGAAUUUUGGACAAUGGGGGAAACCCUGAUGCAGCAAGCCCGAGUGUGCGAUGAAGGCCUUCGGGUUGUAAAGCACUUUUGGCAGGAAAGCGGUACCUGCAGAAUAAGCACCGGCUAACUACGUGCCAGCAGCCGCGGUAAUUC
rnacentral:rRNA from 1 species